rnacentral:rRNA from 1 species
CGCCAGACUCCUACGGGAGGCAGCAGUGGGGGAUAUUGCACAAUGGGCGCAAGCCUGAUGCAGCGACGCCGCGUGAGCGAAGAAGUAUUUCGGUAUGUAAAGCUCUAUCAGCAGGGAAGAAAAUGGCGGUACCUGACUAAGAAGCCCCGGCUAACUACGUGCCAGCAGCCGCGGUAAUACGUAGGGGGCAAGCGUUAUCCGGAUUUACUGGGUGUAAAGGGAGCGUAGACGGCGAUGCAAGCCAGAUGUGAAAGCCCGGGGCUCAACCCCGGGACUGCAUUUGGAACUGUGUGGCUGGAGUGUCGGAGAGGCAGGCGGAAUUCCUAGUGUAGCGGUGAAAUGCGUAGAUAUUAGGAGGAACACCAGUGGCGAAGGCGGCCUGCUGGACGAUGACUGACGUUGAGGCUCGAAAGCGUGGGGAGCAAACAGGAUUAGAUACCCGGGUAUG